AAUGAACGUUGGCGGCGUGGAUUAGGCAUGCAAGUCGUACGGGUCGGUGUAGCAAUACAACGGCAAGUGGCGAAAGGGAGAGUAACACGUAGAUACCUACCCUCUGGUCGGGGAUACCGCGGCAUAACCGCAAGUAAUACCCGAUAAAAUCUCCGGAUCAAAGGUGUGAUUCCGCCGGAGGAGGGGUCUGCGUUCUAUCAGCUUGUUGGCGAGGUAACGGCUCACCAAGGCUAAGACGGAUACGGGGUGUGAGAGCAUGCCCCCGCUCACUGGGACUGAGACACUGCCCAGACACCUACGGGUGGCUGCAGUCGAGAAUCUUCGGCAAUGGGCGCAAGCCUGACCGAGCGACGCCGCGUGCGGGAUGAAGGCCUUCGGGUUGUAAACCGCUGUCGAGGGGAAUGGAGUGUAGGUAAGUCAUCUUAUCUAUUUGACAGAUCCCUGGAGGAAGCAUGGGCUAAGUUCGUGCCAGCAGCCGCGGUAAAAC
rnacentral:rRNA from 1 species